AAUCAACGCUGGCGGCGUGCCUCAGACAUGCAAGUCGAACGAUUAAGACUUCCUUCGGGAAGUGCAUAAAGUGGCGCACGGGUGAGUAACACGUAAGUAAUCUACCCUCGAGUGGGGAAUAACGUUCGGAAACGGACGCUAAUACCGCAUAACGCAGCGGCACCGCAAGGUGUCAGUUGUUAAAGGAGCAAUCCGCUUGAGGAGGAGCUUGCGGCAGAUUAGCUAGUUGGUAAGGUAAUGGCUUACCAAGGCUACGAUCUGUAUCCGGUCUAAGAGGACGGUCGGACACACUGACACUGAAUAACGGGUCAGACUCCUACGGGAGGCAGCAGUCGGGAAUUUUGGGCAAUGGGCUAAAGCCUGACCCAGCAACGCCGCGUGAAGGAUGAAGUAUUUCGGUAUGUAAACUUCGAAAGAAUAGGAAGAAUAAAUGACGGUACUAUUUAUAAGCUCCGGCUAACUACGUG
rnacentral:rRNA from 1 species